GUAGUGUGUAUGUGUGUGAGUGUGUGUGAGUGUGAGGUAUGUGCAUGUGCAUGAGGAUGUCUGUUCUCACUGCAUGAGUGUGUGUGCUUGUGAAGUGGAUGGAACUGUGUGUGUGGCACGCCUGGGCACCAGUGAUGCCUGUUAAUAUAUAAGUGCACCUGUGUGGCAUGUGUCUGUGUGGGAUGCAUGUAUGGGGAUGCCUGUGUCUGUGUGAGGGUGAGCACACAAUGUGUGCUAGGUGAGUGUGUGCAUGCACAUGUCCAUAGGGUUGGGUGUUGGUGGCAGCCAUCAUCACAGCUGAGCCCUCACACAGUCUGGGAGCCCACUCACAUUUGGAGGUGAGCCCACAUGGGGGCAGCCAGGCCACGUGAAGGGAAUCGCCAUGACUGCGUCCCCCGUGUGAGCCACCUGGAGCAAAUGUCAGCAGAGGGUGUGGUUGUGUUGUGUGAGUGUCAGGAGCAGGUGCAUGUGGUUGCAUCGCAUGAGUAUGUCAGGGCAGGUGCGUGUGGUUGCAUGUCACAUGAGUGUGUCAGGGCUGCUGCAUGUGGUUGUAUGUUGUGUGAGUGUGUCGGGGCAGGUGCAUGUGGUUGCAUGUCACGAGUGUGUCGGGCAGGUCUGUGGUUGUGUCAAAUGAGUGUGUCAGGGGCAGAUGCAUGUGGUUGCAUCACAUGAGUGUAUGGGGCAGGUGCGUGGUUGCGUGUCACGAAUGUGUCAGGGGCAGGUGCCUGUGGUUGUGUUGCGUGGGUGUGUCAGGAGCACAGCCCAUUAGCCCCACACAAGUGCAGGGUUAGGGGAGUUGACUUCAUCAUGUCACUCAUCUGUUGGUGGCCUCCAUGGGCCAGUCCAGCCGUGAGCCUGGGGGGGGUCAGGGUACCCCAGGGAGCAGGUGACCCAGCAGCUCCGGCCGAGCCUCCGGGAGGAAGACCCCGUGCCCAGGCUCGCUGAUGUGCCACCAAAUGUUCUGUGUCUCUGAUGACCAGGGAACAGCAGGACAACUUUUGAAACAAAAUGAGACAUGGCCUGAAGCCCUCUCCCUGACCCACGCAUUGAAAACGCUGCCACGAGCCGUCCCUCUCCCAGGGCAUCAUCUCAGUGGGGGUGCCAGGGCCGGCUGGGGGUCCUGCCCGGCUCAUGGUCAGGCCUGUCUUGGCAGGAGAACGUGUCUCUGGCGGACAUCCUCUCCCUGCGGGACCGCGGCCUCAGCGAGCAGGAGGCCUGGGCUGUGUGCCGGGAGUGCGGCCUGGCCAUGCAGAGCGUGGCACAUGCUGCCAUCUUCCAGAGCCUGUGCAUCACACCGGACACCCUGGCCUUCAACACCAGCGGGAACGUGUGCUUCAUGGAGCAGCUCAGCGACGACCCUGAGGGUGCAUUUGUUCCCCCGGAGUUUGACGUCACUGGAAACACCUUUGAGGUGUCCCUUCCUUCUCUUACCGUGUGCAGCAAGGAACAGCAAUGAGUCUUGGAACGGAAGCCAUGUGACGCCUAGCACUGCCCCAGCUCAGGGCGAAACCGGCCACUCCCCACCACCCCUUCUAAACAGAGUGCUUUUUCCCUUCCCCAUCUGGAAUGGCGCUCACCUCCACCGCGAGGUCCCCUCAAUGCAGUUUUAUUGUGAAUGUGCUUGUCAGUGUUUCUUCUGGAUCCCUUGA
rnacentral:lncRNA from 13 species